rnacentral:ncRNA from 1 species
UCGCUUGGGGUGCCCGGUUAUCGGAUCGGGCUGAGAAACACCCAUAGAACCUGAACCAGGUCAUACUGGCGGAGGAAAGCGGUCA